UCGAGAGUUUGAUCCUGGCUCAGGAUGAACGCUAGCGGCAGGCUUAACACAUGCAAGUCGAGGGGUAUAGUUCUUCGGAGCUAGAGACCGGCGCACGGGUGCGUAACGCGUAUGCAAUCUACCUUUUACAGAGGGAUAGCCCAGAGAAAUUUGGAUUAAUACCUCAUAGUAUGUGAGAAUCGCAUGGUUUUCACAUUAAAGUUCCAACGGUAAAAGAUGAGCAUGCGUCCCAUUAGCUAGAUGGUAAGGUAACGGCUUACCAUGGCUACGAUGGGUAGGGGUCCUGAGAGGGAGAUCCCCCGACACUGGAACUGAGACACGGUCCAGACUCCUA
rnacentral:rRNA from 1 species